GACGAACGCUGGCGGCGUGCCUAAUACAUGCAAGUCGAACGCAGUGGGGACGGGUGAGUAACACGUGGGUAACCUCCCAUCAGAGGGGAUAACACUUGGAAACAGGUGCUAAACCGAUACUGAUGGAUGAACCCGCGGUGCAUUAGCUAGUUGGUGAGGUAACGGCUCACCAAGGCCACGAGGCAUAGCCGGCCUGGGGAGGGGAUCGGCCAAACUGGGACUGAGACACGGCCCAGACUCCGACGGGAGGCAGCAGUAGGGAAUCUUCGGGAAUGGACGAAAGUCUGACCGGGCAACGCCGCGUGAGUGAAGAAGGUUUUCGGGUUGGAAAGCUCUGUUAAUCGGGACGCGGUACCGGAAUAGAAAGCCACGGCUAACUACGUGCCAGCAGCCGCGGUAAUAC
rnacentral:rRNA from 1 species